UAGAGAGUAGUAUAAGGAGUACAAAAGAUUUUGAGUUUUCAGGUGGAGGUUCGAUUCCUCUUUCUCUAG
rnacentral:tRNA from 1 species